rnacentral:rRNA from 1 species
GGAAUGGGGUUAGUCCGUACGAGCGCACCCUUGUCCUUAGUUACCAGCACGUUAAGGUGGGCACUCUAAGGAGACUGCCGGUGACAAACCGGAGGAAGGUGGGGAUGACGUCAAGUCAUCAUGGCCCUUACGGCCUGGGCUACACACGUGCUACAAUGGUCGGUACAAAGGGUUGCCAAGCCGCGAGGUGGAGCUAAUCCCAUAAAACCGAUCGUAGUCCGGAUCGCAGUCUGCAACUCGACUGCGUGAAGUCGGAAUCGCUAGUAAUCGUGAAUCAGAAUGUCACGGUGAAUACGUUCCCGGGCCUUGUACACACCGCCCGUGGGGCGGGGGCGGCGGGCCGGGCGCGG